AGGGAAGAAUAAGUCUUGGCUAAUAUCCAAGAUGAUGACGGUACCUCCUUAGCAAGCACCGGCUAACUCUGUGCCAGCAGCCGCGGUAAGACAGAGGGUGCAAACGUUGUUCGGAAUUACUGGGCGUAAAGCGCGUGUAGGCGGCUAAGUAAGUCGGGCGUGAAAUCCCACGGCUCAACCGUGGAAGUGCACUCGAAACUGCAUAGCUAGAGUCCUGGAGAGGAAGGUGGAAUGCUUGGUGUAGAGGUGAAAUUCGUAGAUAUCAAGCGGAACACCNNNGGCGAAGGCGGCCUUCUGGACAGUGACUGACGCUGAGACGCGAAAGCGUGGGGAGCAAACAGGAUUAGAUACCCUGGUAGUCCACGCCGUAAACGAUGAGUGCUAGGUGUCACGGGCUUUGACCCUCGUGGUGCCGAAGCUAACGCGUUAAGCACUCCGCCUGGGGAGUACGGCCGCAAGGCUAAAACUCAAAAGAAUUGACGGGGGCCCGCACAAGCGGUGGAGCAUGUUGUUUAAUUCGACGCAACGCGAAGAACCUUACCUGGGCUAGAAAGUACAGGAACCUGGUUGAAAAAUCGGGGUGCCCUUCGGGGAAUCUGUGGUUAGGUGCUGCAUGGCUGUCGUCAGC
rnacentral:rRNA from 1 species